CCCUUAGAUGUUCUGGGCCGCACGCGCGCUACACUGACGAAUGCAACGAGCUUAUAACCUUGGCCGAAAGGUCUGGGUAAUCUCCAAAUUUCGUCGUGAUGGGGAUAGAUUAUUGCAAUGAUUAAUCUUCAACGAGGAAUGCCUAGUAAGCGCAAGUCAUCAGCUUGCGUUGAUUACGUCCCUGCCCUUUGUACACACCGCCCGUCGCUCCUACCGAUUGAAUGGUCCGGUGAAGCGCUCGGACCGCGGCCUCUUGACGGUUCGCUGUCGAUUGGCUGUGGGAAGUUCGUUAAACCUUAUCAUUUAGAGGAAGGAGAAGUCGUAACA
rnacentral:rRNA from 1 species